ACUUUGGUGUAGUUGGAUAGUGUUGGGUUUGGACUACUCAGAGGUCGUGGGUUCGAAUCCCACUCAGGGAA
rnacentral:tRNA from 1 species